AGCAGCCGCGGUAAUUCCAGCUCCAAUAGCGUAUAUUAAAGUUGUUGCAGUUAAAAGCUCGUAGUUGAAUUUCGGGGUCAGUAGGUUGGUCGUGCCACCGGUACGUACUGGUUUCACUGAUUCCUCCUUCCUGAAGAACCGUAAUGCCAUUAAUUUGGUGUUGCGGGGAAACNGGACUGUUACUUUGAAAAAUUGAGUGUUUAAAGCAGGCUAACGCUUGAAUACAUUAGCAUGGAAUAAUGAAAUAGGACGAUCGAUCCUAUUUUGUUGGUUUCUAGGAUUGACGUAAUGAUUAAUAGGGAUAGUUGGGGGCAUUGGGUAUUCAAUUGUCAGAGGUGAAAUUCUUGGAUUUAUUGAAGACUAACUACUGCGAAAGCAUUUGCCAAGGAUGUUUUCAUUAAUCAAGAAC
rnacentral:misc_RNA from 1 species